GAUGAACGCUAGCUACAGGCUUAACACAUGCAAGUCGAGGGGCAGCGGGAUUGAAGCUUGCUUCAAUUGCCGGCGACCGGCGCACGGGUGAGUAACGCGUAUCCAACCUUCCGUACACUCAGGGAUAGCCUUUCGAAAGAAAGAUUAAUACCUGAUGGUAUGAUGAGAUCGCAUGGUAUCAUCAUUAAAGAUUUAUCGGUGUACGAUGGGGAUGCGUUCCAUUAGGUAGUAGGCGGGGUAACGGCCCACCUAGCCUACGAUGGAUAGGGGUUCUGAGAGGAAGGUCCCCCACAUUGGAACUGAGACACGGUCCAAACUCCUACGGGAGGCAGCAGUGAGGAAUAUUGGUCAAUGGACGAGAGUCUGAACCAGCCAAGUAGCGUGAAGGAUGAAGGUCCUACGGAUUGUAAACUUCUUUUAUAAGGGAAUAAACCCUCCCACGUGUGGGANCUUGUAUGUACCUUAUGAAUAAGCAUCGGCUAACUCCGUGCCAGCAGCCG
rnacentral:rRNA from 1 species